rnacentral:rRNA from 1 species
ACGCCGGGAAGCUCACCGGGGGAGACAGCUGGAUGAAGGUCGGGCUGAAGACCUUACCAGACUAGCUGAGAGGUGGUGCAUGGCCGCCGUCAGUUCGUACUGUGAAGCAUCCUGUUAAGUCAGGCAACGAGCGAGACCCGCGCCCUCAGUUGCCAGCGGAUCCCUUCGGGGAUGCCGGGAACACUGGGGGGACUGCCGGCGCUAAGCCGGAGGAAGGUGCGGGCUACGGCAGGUCCGUAUGCCCCGAAUCCCCCGGGCUACACGCGGGCUACAAUGGCCGGGACAAUGGGUACCGACCCCGAAAGGGGUAGGUAAUCUCCUAAACCCGGUCUAACCUGGGAUCGAGGGCUGCAACUCGCCCUCGUGAACCUGGAAUCCGUAGUAAUCGCGUCUCAAAAUGGCGCGGUGAAUACGUCCCUGCUCCUUGCACACACCGCCCGUCAAGCCACCCGAGUGGGCUAUGGGUGAGGCCUGCCUCGUUGGGGUAGGUCGAACCCAGGGUCCGCGAGGGGGGCUAAGUCGUAACAAGGUAGCCGUAGGGGAAUCUGCGGCUGGAUCACCUCCUAA